rnacentral:rRNA from 1 species
ACUGAACGCUGGCGGCAUGCCUUACACAUGCAAGUCGAACGGCAGCACGGGGCAACCUGGUGGCGAGUGGCGAACGGGUGAGUAAUGCAUCGGAACGUGCCAUUGAGUGGGGGAUAACGUAGCGAAAGUUGCGCUAAUACCGCAUAUUCUGUGAGCAGGAAAGCAGGGACCGCAAGGCCUUGCGCUCUUUGAGCGGCCGAUGUCAGAUUAGCUAGUUGGUGAGGUAACGGCUUACCAAGGCGACGAUCUGUAGCGGGUCUGAGAGGAUGAUCCGCCACACUGGAACUGAGACACGGUCCAGACUCCUACGGGAGGCAGCAGUGGGGAAUUUUGGACAAUGGGCGCAAGCCUGAUCCAGCCAUGCCGCGUGAGUGAAGAAGGCCUUC